GCCGACUUAGCUCAAUAGGCAGAGCAAUUGAUUUGUAAUCAAUAGGUUGUGGGUUCAAUUCCUAUAGUCGGCACCA
rnacentral:tRNA from 2 species